UACGGAGGGGGCUAGCGUUGUUCGGAAUUACUGGGCGUAAAGCGCACGUAGGCGGCUUUGUAAGUUAGAGGUGAAAACCCAGGGCUUAACCCUGGAAUUGCCUUUAAGACUGCAUCGCUAGAAUCGUGGAGAGGUAAGUGGAAUUCCGAGUGUAGAGGUGAAAUUCGUAGAUAUCGGGAGGAACACCAGUGGCGAAGGCGGCGACCUGGGCCAAUAUUGACGCUGAGGUGCGAAAGCGUGGGUAGCAAACAGG
rnacentral:rRNA from 1 species